ACAGGUUGGGGCUGGGGAGAAGGAAUAGUUGUGUAGAUAGUCAAAGAUAACUCUAGCUGGUGAUGAAGUCUCCAGUUAGUUCUCCUGAGGAAGCACCUUAUGGCCCAAAUAGCAGUGCUCAAACUUGGACAUCAAACCCAGGAUUCUCUUUUCUUCAUGGGCUAACAGCAAAAUCUGCCUGAGGCUGGUGGACAAGAUGUCUGUUCUCCAGCCUUUUGUGAAGAUUUAUUUAUAAGAAUGCCAUGGCUUUGGAUGAGAGUCUUUGGCUCAAUAUUGAAGUUUAGUCACCUUACACAGA